AGUUUGAUCCUGGCUCAGAUUGAACGCUGGCGGCAUGCUUUACACAUGCAAGUCGAACGGCAGCGCGGGAGCAAUCCUGGCGGCGAGUGGCGAACGGGUGAGUAAUGUAUCGGAACGUAUCCAGUAAUGGGGGAUAACCAGUCGAAAGAUUGGGUAAUACCGCAUACGCACGAGAGUGGAAAGUAGGGGAUCGCAAGACCUUACGUUAUUGGAGCGGCCGAUAUCUGAUUAGCUAGUUGGUGGGGUAAAGGCCUACCAAGGCGACGAUCAGUAGCAGGUCUGAGAGGAUGAUCUGCCACACUGGGACUGAGACACGGCCCAGACUCCUACGGGAGGCAGCAGUGGGGAAUUUUGGACAAUGGGCGAAAGCCUGAUCCAGCCAUGCCGCGUGCAGGAAGAAGGCCUUCGGGUUGUAAACUGCUUUAGUCUAGGAAAAAGGGAUGCAUGGUUAAUACCUAUGUGUUUUGAUGGUACUGGAAGAAUAAGCACCGGCUAACUACGUGCCAGCAGCCGCGGUAAUACGUAGGGUGCGAGCGUUAAUCGGAAUUACUGGGCGUAAAGCGUGCGCAGGCGGUCCGUUAAGACAGUCGUGAAAGCCCCGGGCUUAACCUGGGAACUGCGAUUGUGACUGGCGGGCUAGAGUGUGUCAGAGGGGGGUGGAAUUC
rnacentral:rRNA from 1 species